AAACCCGCAUCCUAAGCGUGGAUAAGCCGAAGCUCAUGCAAAAAGCACGCUGCGUUCCUCAGUCCCCCAGGGCGAAUCCAAUAAAGAGCUAUAACACAGCCGAAACUGCUACCUUCUCUCUAUGCUUUUCCGCCCCGAAAAACUGAUGCGGGCCUGCCAAUCGAGUUGCCCCGAAUAGCAAGUAUCACUGCAUGUGUUUCCCUUCCAACAAUUUCACGUACUGUUAACUCUCUUUCCAAAGUGCUUUUCAUCUUUCCCUCACGGUACUUGUUCGCUAUCGGUCUCUCGCCAAUAUUUAGCUUUAGAUGGAAUUUACCACCCAAUUUGAGCUGCAUUCCCAAACAACUCGACUCUUCGAAAGUGUAUCACAAAGUAAUAGGCAUCCGCAUCGUGUACUGGGUUCUCACCACUAUGACGCUCUGUUCCAAGAGACUUGUAUGCGGUCUAUCACGGAAAACACUUCUCGAGAUUACAACUCGGACGUCGAAGACGCCAGAUUACAAAUUUGAGCUUUUCCCGCUUCGCUCGCCGCUAC
rnacentral:rRNA from 1 species